AUUUAUUUAAUAUAUAAAGUAUAUUUAACUUCCAAUUAAAAAGUCUGUAUUAUACAGAAUAAAUA
rnacentral:tRNA from 1 species